rnacentral:lncRNA from 1 species
GUAUUUGCAGAAAUAACAGCUGGGAUCUACAGUGGCCAAAGAGUUGUCUCCGUCUUGCUACAUCGACAAACUGGUGCUCCUGAGUGAGGAUUGUGCCCUGGGAUGGGGGAUUCAGUUUCUUCAUUUAUAGUUGGAAGUGGGUGAAGCCACUUCGGAAGCGUUUUCCUCUCCACUCUGACAACAGGCAAGAGUGAGGGUCCAACAAUACAGAGGAAGUAACGUGUCGCUGCUACUCUUCCAUGCCCAGUGCCAGGAGCGACGGUACACUCCAGAGUGCUGUGCCCUGAUGGGCCUUUGAGUGGCCAGUGCAGUGGAUCAUCAGCCCUGUCUCCCAAGAGCUCCAGUCCCUUCUCCGGAGAGGAAGUGGGUCCACUGGCAGCUCAGGAGGCCAUAGCAGCCUUACGGAAGUGUGGGUGGCGCUUUCUGGAAGCUGCACAAGUCAGUGCUGGGUCUUCGCAACUUGGUGUUCUGUUUCCAGAAACUUGGGGUGUUUGCAUGUGCUAGGUCAGCACAGAUUUCCAAAGGAUCUCUAGGAUUGUCACGUGUGCUCAACAGUCCUCCUCGGCUUUCCAGAAGAGGCUGGAACAGGGCCCUUGAAGAUGUUUGUGGACAUCAGAGGGCCAAAGACGACACAAAGUGAAACUGGAGACACCGCCCCCCCUUGGCAUCAUGAAACUGCCGAUGUUACUGGCUCAUGCAUGGGAGACACCAGCAUACAAAGUCUUGACACCAACACCUCAGAGGGCUGUGUUCUGUCCCCGUGACCAUCAUCUAGUGCCUGGAAAGACUAGUGACAAGAACUUGUUGCCAACUUCCUAUUACCUCCCUAACAGUUGUGCAAUAAACCCCAUAGGUUAAUUCA